rnacentral:rRNA from 1 species
AGCGAACGCUGGCGGCAGGCUUAACACAUGCAAGUCGAGCGGGCACCUUCGGGUGUCAGCGGCAGACGGGUGAGUAACACGUGGGAACGUGCCCUUUGGUUCGGGACAACUCCGGGAAACUGGAGCUAAUACCGGAUAAGCCCUUCGGGGAAAGGAUUUAUCGCCAAAGGAUCGGCCCGCGUCUGAUUAGCUAGUUGGUGAGGUAAUGGCUCACCAAGGCGACGAUCAGUAGCUGGCUGAGAGGAUGAUCAGCCACACUGGGACUGAGACACGGCCCAGACUCCUACGGGAGGCAGCAGUGGGGAAUAUUGGACAAUGGGCGCAAGCCUGAUCCAGCCAUGCCGCGUGAGUGAUGAAGG